GAGAGAGGUGUUUCACAAUAAGAACUGCUAAUUCCUAUAACUGAGAAUAAUUCCCUCAGCUCCCUCA
rnacentral:tRNA from 1 species